GCCAGGCGUGGUGGCGCAUGCCUGUAAUCCCAGCUACUGGGGAGGCUGAGGCAGGAGAAUUGCUUGAACCCAGGAGGCAGAGGCUACAGUGAGCCAAGACCGUGCCACUGCACUCCAGCCUGGGCGAUAGAGCAACACUCUGCCUCAA
rfam:Homo sapiens chromosome 19, GRCh38 reference primary assembly.